CUGUGUGUUGUUGGGUAGGGGAGCGUUCUGUAAGCCUGUGAAGGUGUGUCGUGAGGCAUGCUGGAGGUAUCAGAAGUGCGAAUGCUGACAUAAGUAACGAUAAAGCGGGUGAAAAGCCCGCUCGCCGGAAGACCAAGGGUUCCUGUCCAACGUUAAUCGGGGCAGGGUGAGUCGACCCCUAAGGCGAGGCCGAAAGGCGUAGUCGAUGGGAAACGGGUUAAUAUUCCCGUACUUGGUGUUACUGCGAAGGGGGGACGGAGAAGGCUAUGUUGGCCGGGCGACGGUUGUCCCGGUUUAAGCGUGUAGGUGUGUGUUCCAGGUAAAUCCGGUUCACUUUAACACUGAGGCGUGACGACGAGGCACUACGGUGCUGAAGCAACAAAUGCCCUGCUUCCAGGAAAAGCCUCUAAGCAUCAGGUAACAUCAAAUCGUACCCCAAACCGACACAGGUGGUCAGGUAGAGAAUACCAAGGCGCUUGAGAGAACUCGGGUGAAGGAACUAGGCAAAAUGGUGCCGUAACUUCGGGAGAAGGCAC
rnacentral:rRNA from 1 species